rnacentral:rRNA from 1 species
AUUGAACGCUGGCGGCAGGCCUAACACAUGCAAGUCGAACGGUAACAGGAAGCAGCUUGCUGCUUUGCUGACGAGUGGCGGACGGGUGAGUAAUGUCUGGGAAACUGCCUGAUGGAGGGGGAUAACUACUGGAAACGGUAGCUAAUACCGCAUAACGUCGCAAGACCAAAGAGGGGGACCUUCGGGCCUCUUGCCAUCGGAUGUGCCCAGAUGGGAUUAGCUAGUAGGUGGGGUAACGGCUCACCUAGGCGACGAUCCCUAGCUGGUCUGAGAGGAUGACCAGCCACACUGCAACUGAGACACGGUCCAGACUCCUACGGGAGGCAGCAGUGGGGAAUAUUGCACAAUGGGCGCAAGCCUGAUGCAGCCAUGCCGCGUGUAUGAAGAAGGCCUUCGGGUUGUAAAGUACUUUCAGCGGGGAGGAAGGGAGUAAAGUUAAUACCUUUGCUCAUUGACGUUACCCGCAGAAGAAGCACCGGCUAACUCCGUG